GUCGAGUCGGCCUGCGCGGAAGAUGUAACGGGGCUAAACCAUGCACCGAAGCUGCGGCAGCGACACUAUGUGUUGUUGGGUAGGGGAGCGUUCUGUAAGCCUGCGAAGGUGUGCUGUGAGGCAUGCUGGAGGUAUCAGAAGUGCGAAUGCUGACAUAAGUAACGAUAAAGCGGGUGAAAAGCCCGCUCGCCGGAAGACCAAGGGUUCCUGUCCAACGUUAAUCGGGGCAGGGUG
rnacentral:rRNA from 1 species